UACGUAGGUGGCAAGCGUUAUCCGGAAUUAUUGGGCGUAAAGAGCGCGCAGGUGGUUGAUUAAGUCUGAUGUGAAAGCCCACGGCUUAACCGUGGAGGGUCAUUGGAAACUGGUCGACUUGAGUGCAGAAGAGGGAAGUGGAAUUCCAUGUGUAGCGGUGAAAUGCGUAGAGAUAUGGAGGAACACCAGUGGCGAAGGCGGCUUCCUGGUCUGUAACUGACGCUGAGGAGCGAAAGCGUGGGGAGGCGACAGGAUUAGAUA
rnacentral:rRNA from 1 species